rnacentral:rRNA from 1 species
CUCGUAGGCGGCCAACUAAGUCGGACGUGAAAUCCCUCGGCUUAACCGGGGAACUGCGUCUGAUACUGGAUGGCUCGAGUUCGGGAGAGGGAUGCGGAAUUCCAGGUGUAGCGGUGAAAUGCGUAGAUAUCUGGAGGAACACCGGUGGCGAAGGCGGCAUCCUGGACCGACACUGACGCUGAGGAGCGAAAGCCAGGGGAGCAAACG